UGGGAGAAUCAAAGUCAGAGGAGGAAAAAUGAAUGAGAAAAUGAGCAGUCAGGAGCAACUCGGGUGACAGACAGCGCUCAGCACAGCGAAAUGAAUUAGCAAGAAGGCUUGGACAGGCAGCGCCGAAGGACCGCAGAGCGAAGCGCUGGAGACUGUAAGGCAGAUUGAAGAUCCUACAUACUGAAGGGUAUCAGCAUUCUCACCUGGUCUCCGAAAGAGCUGUCCUUCCUAUGAAAAAGAGAAAAAUAUUUGGAUACAGUUUGGUAAGAAUAUGAAGGAAUCAGAAGGAAUAUUUUUAAGCAUCUUAUCUCUUGAUCAAACUGGUCAAAUGACAAUCUUAACAGUCAUUUACAUGAACAAUGUCAGAUGUUUUUUUACUUUUUAUCCAUUUAAUCUUCACCUUGAUCCUGAGAGGUCAUCAUUAAAAUGUCUGGUCUAGAUCUAGGGGCUGUUGAUGAGCCUGUACUCAAGCUCUGCCUCUGACCCGGCUUUCGGAGCACCCAGAUCCAGGGAGGAACCACUGCAAGUAAGCAGCACACUCCCCACUUACUGGCCCUUCUCUCCCUCAGGACCAGGGCCCAAAUCAUGUCAGCGGUCCCUUGGGUUGUAAGCCUCUUAGGCUGCUUGUGCCAAAAGGUGAACCAAAGAGUGAACUCAAGAAAUCUCCCCAAAUGUCUACUCUUUAAAUGUAAAUGAGUGUAAUAUCUCCUUUGUGUCACCCUGACAUUUUAAGUAUAAAAUAUCAAUUGGAAAAAACUUCAAAUCAAAAGUUAUACAUUCUAGAAGAAGAAAUUGGAAAAAUUUUAAAGCUUUGAGAGUUAAGUCAAUCCCAUAGAAGUAAGACACUUUGCAGGAGAAAGUAAUAUAUAUGUAUAUAUAUUAAUAUGUAAAUAUAUACAUAUAUAUACACAUAUAUAUAUAUAUAUAUUAGCAUGUAUUAUGUUUUCAACACUGCCAGGCAAUGUAAGAGAUAUAGAAGAACUAUAAAACAUUGUUCCUAUUCUCAAAAAGCUUGUAAUGUAGUAGGGUAGAAGAAAAUUUUGAAUCUAAAUUGACACAGCCAACCAACACAUACACAUUUUUCUUCAUAAAAAAUACUAAAACUGUAUGUAUGACACAUCUCUGAGCAGUGAGUGGAAGAAAAGAGGAAACCUAAUGUGGGCUGCGUGACUUCACAUGUGAUGUCUUAUUUCAUCCUCUCAAGCAUUCAUUGAAUUAAGGACUAUUUUCUCCAUUUUUAUAGAUGAGGUUACCAAAACUGAUAUCCUAAAUGACUUGUCCACAAUAAGAUAUAUAUAUAAGAUAUAUAUUAGACUAAAACUCUAAUACCAAGUUCUAAAUCUCUUACUGUUCUUGCCAUAUUGAGGUGACCUUGAAGACUUAUCACAAGUGGUUCAGAUCUUUCUCCUCUCCUUAUGCAUAUGGUAAGACUGUACCUCCCCACCCACCUGAAAUUACAUAUGGCCAUGUAACCUGCUCUGGCCACUGAAAUGUGAGUGGGUAUGAUGUGCAUCACUUCUGGCCAGAAGCCUCAAGAGCCAGUGCACACCAUUAACCAUGUUCUCUCUUUUCCUGUGCCACAUGGUACAAAAUAUGUAAUGAAGCAGAUACUCCAUCACCUCGGGUCCUGUAAUGAAGACAACAGGGAGCACAGGCCCUAUUCAACCCUCAAUGGACAUGUAGAAUAAGGAAUAAAUGUUUUUAUUUCAAGUACUAAACACUGAGUUUGCUUUAACCUGACCAAUCCUGACCCAUUGGUACUAUGAAUAAGAUUUAGGUCCUAAAAUAUGUAACUAGUUGAAGGACCAGUCAGCAGGUGAUGAGGAAAUUUAGUGGAGACUGAAAGUCUGGGACAAUCUGUUAUUUUUCAUCUAUAAUAACUUAAAAGUCACAUAAUGCAUUUGAUCUUAUAGCUCUAGAAAAAGUUGAAAACUAGAAUAUCAGUAGCAUGUAUGGGUUACUGCAUUUGACUGAAUUUGACAAGGUACUACAAGAGAUGGAGUUUCCAAUUAGGAGUAAGAGGGAAAAGAGAGUCCAGAGAUAUGGGGGCUUAUAGGAUUGGACGAGUCAGCUGCGUGGAAAAGCUUUUAGGUAAUAAAAGCUAAUCAGACCUUAGCUUUGUGGCAAGGACCAAAUCAAGGCGUGGUAGUCAUAUCUGUUGUCCAAGCUUCAGAAUGGAUUCAUUUAUGGCCCAGCAAAUUGCUUGAGUUAGAAAAGAUAGCUUAGGGCAUAACUCUCCCACCACAGCUUAAUGGGCCUGCUGUGCCCACAGCUAAACUGAGAAAGAAAGACAGAAUUAUCAGUAUGGCUACUGACACAUGGAGCUGACAAAUCAAAGAAGCUGACUAAACUUUGAAACCAUGAACCUGGAUUAGGAGAUCUGUGACUAUUAAGGCUGAACAGUGACUCCUGGACUCUUAAUCUGCAGGCAGUGGGCAAGCUGUAAAACCUGCUCAGGCCUCCCAUAUCCUCCCCAGAGGCAGCCAAGCAGGAUAACGGCAAAGGAAGAUCUCCAGAGGGUACAGCCCAGGGAACAUGAACCACUAGUUAAAUGAAAAAACAGAAAAGACUUACUGACUGAAUGGUGCCCUCCAUGGGACUGAACCCAGAAAGCAUUUUCACUUCUACAAUGGCCAAGUUGGAAGAGCUGCGCCUU